AAAGUGUUAGUAAAAAAAUUACAUUUCACUGUCAGUGAGAAAUUACCUAAGUAUACUUUU
rnacentral:tRNA from 1 species